GCGCUAGUGGUGUAGUGGUAUCAUGCAAGAUUCCCAUUCUUGCGACCUGGGUUCGAUUCUCGGCUAGCGCA
rnacentral:tRNA from 1 species